CCCGCGGACCGCGGAAGCAGGAGUGGUGAAACUGUACAAAGCUGCACCGAUCCCCUCCCUGGGGAUCCCCACCGCGAAGACCGAGGCAAGCGGCGCUCGCCCAUCUUCCUCUCUGACCGCAGCGGCCACCACCAGCAGAAGCCGGGAGAGCGGAGAGAGCGGGGUUGUUGGAGCGCCGGCUGCUGCAACCCCGCGGGGUCGCGAGGCGCCCGGGUCUCCCGAACGCGCAGCGGAAGGCGCGGAGCGGCGCCCCAACCGCACGCGCCGGCGCCCGGAGAGACCCCCGCCCCGCCCCUCCUGCCCCUCCCGCCGGGCGGGGAAGGAGCCGAGCGCCCGCGGCCCGCCGCGCUCCACGCCCCGCACCGCCCCGUGGAAAGCGUGCUCUCACCGCGUUGCCCCAGCCUGGUGUUGCGCGGGCUGCAAACGUGCGCGCGUUUUCGCUUGCUGUCGCUUGCGCCGGUCUCUCCCAAACCUCCCCCCGCCUCACCUUCACAGAGUCUACCGGGUACAUGACCGAGUGCUCCAGGAUCCCGGCCAUCGCUCCGGCUGUCAUGUGGGUGGAUACGGAGGCGCUGGUCGGCAGGUUCUCAUAGUCCUCCGAGCCGGCGUCCUUGCUGCCGCCGCCGCCAUCUCGAGUGUCCCCAUCCAUCCCCCGCCCCACCGCCUGGCUCCCUACGCCGCUGCAGCGUAGCUCCAUCCGCCAGCUCCGCGGGGAACGGGAGGCUGCAAGAGGGCUUAAGGCUUGGCUCUGUGGGAUCAGCUUCCAGACCACACCAGAACUUCCCUGCCUCAUCCAGAGAAGGCUUCGGCUCCGGAGAGCUGGGACUUGAGAUAUGAAAGGUGGUGGAACUGGUGGAAGGACAUCAUCUUGUGGAUAAGAGGAUUCUUGGCAAAUGUGAACAAUGCUCAUCAUCUUCGGGGAUGUAAGAUGCUCUCUAAUUUCAUUAAAUAAAUGUUAAGUCAGAACUAUCAGAAAAUGUCUUUGGAAUAUUAUAAGUACACAGUAUUUUUUUUCCCCAUAUAUUGUAGACAUGGUAAUUUGACACUCAGCAUCCAUCUUAAACCCCUUUUUGUAAGGCAGUGCCUUACAAUUUUAAAACAUUAAAAAAUUUUAAAAAAAUAUUUUAAAAACAUAUUUUAAAAACGUGAAACACGUCACAAUGAUGAAUUGUCCAAACACUCGCAGUUUCCACCAGAAUUUGACUUGUGGUUGGCACACUAGCUUGCUUCCUUGGAUGUCUGAGGGACCAAGAUCUCACAGAAUAGCCAAGACCUUGUUUUAACAUGGCACUAUUUAGUAUCUUACCUACGUA